AGACUGAUGUGCAAGUGGUGUGCUGUGUAUGAGCUCAGUGAUUUCUUACGAUUUUAUAAUGGAUAACAAUAAGAUACAGUUAAUCGGUGCACCUUGCGGACACCACGGCCCCUAUACGUUCUAUAAAGCGUUUAAAUAUAACAAAAACGGAAAGUGCAGGAUUUUAGCCCUAAGUGAUUUUUUCUUUGUGAAGUUAUGGAGUGAUUCUGAUUUAAUGAGUAUUGGAGAAUUACAGUUGUUGUGGAUGGACAAAAAUAGCGAACAAGUGCUAGCGAGCUUACGUUUAUAUUUUCUACCCGAAAAUACGCCAGAAGGAAGAAGUGAUGAUCAUGGAGAGGCUAGCGUUGUGCCAUUCGACAGUACAACGGAUGUCCAGCGACGACAGCGAGAUACUAUUGUGUAGACCAGCAGGAGGGAGUCGUGCAAACUGCACGUACGCGCGUGCCUUAGCCACGACACACAGCAAC